rnacentral:rRNA from 1 species
GCUCCAAUAGCGUAUAUUUAAGUUGUUGCAGUUAAAAAGCUCGUAGUCGGUUCGGGCGGCUGCGCCGGUCUGCCUUUGGUAUGCACUGGCGUGACCGCUUUUCUGUCGGGGACGGGCUCCUGGGCUUCACUGUCCGGGACCGGAGUCGACGCUGUUACCUUGAGUAAAUUGGAGUGUUCAAAGCAGGCAUACGCUCUGAA